rnacentral:rRNA from 1 species
UACGGAGGGUGCGAGCGUUGUCCGGAAUCACUGGGCGUAAAGGGCGCGUAGGCGGCCUGAUAAGUAGGGGGUGAAAUCCUGCGGCUUAACCGCAGGGCUGCCUUCUAAACUGUCAGGCUAGAGCACAGUAGAGGCAGGUGGAAUUCCCGGUGUAGCGGUGGAAUGCGUAGAGAUCGGGAGGAACACCGGUGGCGAAGGCGGGUCUCUGGGCAUCUCCUGACGCUGAGGCGCGAAAGCGUGGGGAGCAAGCGGG